CACGUAGGGCGCAAGCGUUGUCCGGAAUUAUUGGGCGUAAAGAGCUCGUAGGCGGUCUGUUGCGUCUGCUGUGAAAACUCGGGGCUUAACCCCGAGCCUGCAGUGGAUACGGGCAGACUAGAGGUAGGUAGGGGAGAAUGGAAUUCCUGGUGUAGCGGUGAAAUGCGCAGAUAUCAGGAGGAACACCAAUGGCGAAGGCAGCUCGCUGGGACGGUACUGACGCUGAGACGCGAAAGCGUGGGGAGCAAACAGG
rnacentral:rRNA from 1 species